rnacentral:sRNA from 2 species
AUCGCUGCUAAUCUAUCGCUGCUAAUCUAUCGCUGCUAAUCUAUCGCUGCUAAUCUAUCGCCGCCAACCUACCUACCGCUGCCAACCUAUCUAUCGCUGCCAACCUAUAUAGGGUAAAUCAUGGUCCCAUUUGGUCCCAUUUUGUAAAAUGGGACCAAAUGGGACCAGGAUCACUAAUUUAUUAGUAAAACAUGAUCUGGGACUAGAUUUAUAAUAUAAACAGUGUAAAGUGACUAAUUUGCUAAACACUAUAUGGGACCAGGACUAAGAUAUCUAAUAAUGGGACUGAGGAAAAAUUUGGUCCCAGUCCCAUGCAUGGUCACACGGCCAGUCUAAUCUGCUC